GUGUGGACUUUUAAUAUUGUUGCACGCGCGCAGAGAGAGAGUGUGUGUCUUCCAGAGGAGCAGGCUGCAUUGUGCAGCAGUGCAGGGGGAAUAUAUUCCUUAUUUUAUUCGUGCAGCAGCAGCCCGGACUGGCUUUGACAGGGAGGAGAUGAAGGGGAGGAGUUGUUUAGCUCGGCUGGAUCAUCCAUCAUCCCUGUCACACCGAAUCGGCAAAAGGAAAGCAGCAGAGGCAAUCUACCUUCUGUCUCAUCGGGGGGAGGAAGAGAGGAGGAGGAGGAGGAGGGGAGGAGGGAGGAGGAGAAGGAGGGAGGGAAGGGGAGAGAAAAGAAAAAAAAAACUAUUAAUAUUAAAAUCCUCUUCAUCCACAGUAAUCCUCACGUUUUCUCUCUUUUUCAUCUGAUAAUCUCCGCACAAAACGGAGGGCUUCUUCCUUCCGUUUUAUCCGCAGAAUAAUAGAGCGCUGGAAAAACAAAAAAAAAAGAAAGACUUAAAGGUUUUGAAUAGUUGAGAGAGGAAGAUGCAUCAUUAACCAGGCACUAGUAAGACCUAUAAAUAUCUACAUAUUUCCUCCCUGCCUGGUUAAGGCCUAACAUGCCUCUGCGUGUGGAGGGAAAGUGUUAAACAAAGAUCAGCUGUGUACUUAUCACGUCCGCUUUUUCUCUCAAAAACAGUCAAACUAAAAGAUAUUUAUUUAUGAUGUGGGCUGACUGUUAUCCAGACAGAAAUAAUAACACACACAUGCACAAAAGUAGAGUAUAAGAUUUAUGCUUUUAGAGUAAUAAAACGAUUUUAUUUUAAAGACUUAAAAAGUGCUUUGAUUUAACAGCAAAUAAAAAAGGCCUUUUAUAGUGGUCAGUUAAAGUUCAGAGUAAAAGUGACUUUAAAUAUAAAAUACAUGAUUUACAUGUUUGUUUGUUUUACUUUGCAUAACCCAAAUAAAGGGAAGACCUGCUGCAUAAACAAACAAAUCUGUGUUUGCACAUUUUUUUAGAGUUAGGUUUAGAAUUAGUAGAAAAAAUUUUAAUAUUCUUACAUCGAUAUAAAAUUAAAAAAAUGUAGAUAUCAUUUUUUAAUAAACUAUUUUUAAUGAUGCAAGAACAUGAGAAUAAUUUUAGAAUUUCCUCUAAAGCACCCGAGUGUAAAAAAGUGUAAAAAAAAAAAUCCUAAUGUUAGUUUUUAUUUAGUGCCAAAAUAAGAAUAAUUGUAAAUAUCAUAAUAACUUUUUACGUUUGUUUGCUGUAUUUUUUUAUACAUAUAUAUUUUUGACUCAGACAAAAAUGCGGUUUAUUGUAGUGAGAUCUGAGCUCGUGUUACACAAAAAUAAGAAAUUAAUUAAAAGAAACUCAAAGUCUGGACUUGAACUCUGCUUUUGUUUUCACUUGUUUUAGUGAAGGACGGAGAAGAUUUGAGCCAAAGUGAUGUGGUCGUUUCUGGUUUGAGGCUGGGACUCGGAUGGCCGCGGGGCGAACACGGGCUCAGAGAUGGAGAGGAGAGAGGAGAUAGCCCAUCAAAGCCCAUCUGUGUUUUUACCAGACGGCGGUGCAGUGUUUGGCCGACAGGCGGCGCUGCAAAACGGCAGAAACGAGAAGUGAGUACACAGACAAGAGUGCCAGCCAUGGCUCUCUCACUCUAGAUUCACAGGGGGACAAAUCCUCAAUCUAUUGUUUGAUCACAAAGCAAUAUUAAAAUUCCUCUAACCCAGAAAACUUGUCUUGAUUUUUCUUUGUAAUUGAGGUCAGCUUUAGACAUGAUCAGACAUAUCUGGAGUGAUGUUGAAUCUGCGUCAAAUGUGUGUUUAAUUUUGGAAAAAGCAAAGUGGGAAAAUUUCCUAAACAGAUAAGCCAUGUUCAGAAUUAAUUCCCAGAAAUUGUGUAUUUUACUUUUAUCUAGUUAUACUUCUUUUGAAAUCUAUUUUAAUUUUCCUCAAAACACCAUCACUCAUAAUACGUCCUCUGAUCUAAAUGUAAGGAAUGGGUUAUGUAGUUUAAACUUUUUAUUUACAUUUUUGACAGCAAAUCAUAAUUCGGAGGACACAUUUCUGUGCUUUAAUAAUUGGCAAAGGCGGGUUAUGUGGAUCAAUAAUUAGCUAUUGUCAUUUUAAGUGACGAAUAAAAACCAAAUGGUCCGUUUGGUUGAGAAUAAAGAGUCUGUUGCAUAUAUGGUGAAGGAAAUUUUUUAAACUCUUGCAGAAAUUGCAGAAAAA
rnacentral:lncRNA from 1 species